UACGGGAGGCAGCAGUGGGGAAUAUUGCACAAUGGGCGCAAGCCUGAUGCAGCCAUGCCGCGUGUAUGAAGAAGGCCUUCGGGUUGUAAAGUACUUUCAGUCGUGAGGAAGGUGUUAAGGUUAAUAACCUUAGCAAUUGACGUUAGCGACAGAAGAAGCACCGGCUAACUCCGUGCCAGCAGCCGCGGUAAUACGGAGGGUGCGAGCGUUAAUCGGAAUUACUGGGCGUAAAGGGCACGCAGGCGGUUAAUUAAGUUGGAUGUGAAAUCCCCGGGCUUAACCUGGGAAUGGCAUUCAAGACUGGUUAGCUAGAGUCUUGUAGAGGGGGUAGAAUUCCAUGUGUAGCGGUGAAAUGCGUAGAGAUGUGGAGGAAUACCGGUGGCGAAGGCGGCCCCUGGACAAAGGCUGACGCUCAUGUGCGAAAGCGUGGGGAGCGAAACAGGGAUUAGA
rnacentral:rRNA from 1 species